GACGAACGCUGGCGGCGUGCUUAACACAUGCAAGUCGAACGGAAAGGCCCUGCUUUUGUGGGGUGCUCGAGUGGCGAACGGGUGAGUAACACGUGAGUAACCUGCCCUUGACUUUGGGAUAACUUCAGGAAACUGGGGUUAAUACCGGAUAGGAGCUCCUGCUGCAUGGUGGGGGUUGGAAAGUUUCGGCGGUUGGGGAUGGACUCGCGGCUGAUGAGCUUGUUGGUGGGGUAGUGGCUUACCAAGGCUUUGACGGGUAGCCGGCCUGGGAGGGUGACCGGCCACAUUGGGACUGCGAUACGGCGCAGACUCGUACGGGAGGCAGCAGGGGGGAAUAUUGCACAGUGGGCGGAAGCCGGAUGCAGCAACGCCGCGUGCGGGAUGACGGCCUUCGGGUUGUAAACCGCUUUCGCCUGUGACGAAGCGUGAGUGACGGUAAUGGGUAAAGAAGCACCGGCUAACUACGUG
rnacentral:rRNA from 1 species